AAAGACAGCAUGGUGUGCGGGUCCUCACUUAGGACAGCAGUGUAGGGACCUGUCACGUCAGUGGCCAGAAGAAAGCUGCUUCUCAUUGGCUUUGGCUUAAACCCAUUUUGCUUGUUAGAAUUUAUAGUUUUGUUAUAGAUGUAAUUUACUAAUUUGAAAUGAUGUUCUAACAGUGAGUCCCUUGUCUAGACACUUAAAAUCUGAUUUGUAAGUAAUACUGAUAGACAUAUUUUCUUACAUCUGAGCAGAAAUAAAUGCAUGUUUUUAGCAAAUGUAAUGUAAAAACUCCAGAGGAUAAGUUUACACCCAAUAAGAUAUUAUUUUCUAUUUUUAAAUUUGAUAUUUGCCCCUCUUUGGUAGUGAGGUUGGGGGCAUAGUAUCUAUACAGAGCUGUCGCUCCAGAGUGACAUUUAUUUCCCGCAGAGAUGCUGAGCUCACGCUGUGCUGGGCCUGUGCGAUGUGUGUACUUUGCCAGAGGAGCUGAGGAAAACCAAGACUUUUCCCCCAUCCCCCAUUUGGUUUCCACACACAGGUUCUUCUGAAUGCUGCUUGGUUUGCUAAGUUGGUGGGCAUGUAAGACCUCUUGAAGAGAUGGUGUGUGCAAAGACGGCCCAUGUUUCUAGGCAGUUUUAGCUUGUGUCUUCACAUAGAUGAGAGCCAACUGUCGGUGAAGUGUGUGGUGCUCCAGGGAUAUGGUGCUGGCAUGGCUUGGCACCCACCCCACCUUUCCACUCGGCAGGACUCACCUGUGGUACAGCCCUCAAAUCACUGACUAGAGUGUAUGUCUAUGGCCCAGGAAGUCUUGCCCCCUAAGUUUACCCACUCCCCACAAUAGACAGGGAUUUGACUACUACUUCCUUUCCUCUGUGCUCCGAAUUGACAUGAUUUAGCCAGUCUGCGGUGCGGUGGGUUUUUAUUCUCUUGACUUCUAGCCUACAGGAAGAACAGGGACUUCAGGAUCAGAACAGAGAUGAGCAGAGUUGCCAGUAGAUAGAUGCCAUCCGUGACUAACUACUCAGAGGCAUUGCCCUAGCAGCCCUACUGGCUGCAGAAGCUAGCUCCUUUUCUAGCACAGACUGUUUGAAUCUCUGGCCAUAAGAGGCCGCAUCUGACUUUGCAGCCCUUUGUUGUUAAUGUGACCUCUUCUAGAGCCCAGGCCCAGGACCUGGCAGAUACACUCUAGCUGAGGACAGGGAAGGGACUCAGAACUCCAAAGCAGAUGUGCUUGCUUGCAACAUUUAACUCUGAUCAGAACAAAAGCUACUCCAUGCUUCAAAUCACGUGCCAGCAGCAUUGACCAGGUAGGUUAGGUCUCCAAAACAGCGAGCUUUCCCCACAGCUUGUUAACUCCUCUCAGGGUAAGCUCAGGUGCCUCAGAUGGCUUAAUACAGGCCCUUCAGGUGAGUAAGUUGCACUGAGCAGGAGAGGGUAGCUGUGUGGCUAACAGGCUACCCGGCAUCUUUGGGCAUAGUUGGUCAGUACCGUGCCAGGAAGGUCAUUCCCCAGCUGGGACAGCAUGUAGACUUCAUAGGAAAGGGUGGGUGGCAGAUGUGAGCAGCUUAAGGCAUUGGUCAUUGAGUGUCGGCAGUAGGUCACAGGCGGGGUGCACCUUCCAAGGUGUGCCUAGCCAGCACUCUGGAGACCAUCAAGGGGGGGCUAGUGAGCAGCACUGUGCUCCGCAUUUCAGAGUGGCAGAUUUGAUGACUAAAGACACUCAGGCACCCCGAGGAACAGUACUGGGGAUGUGCAGCUGUGCUGGUUGGUCCGCCUCCCUGCCCGGAGCCACGUGGUGUCUACAUCCAUAGCAUGAGGGAGCAAAGAAGGUAUCGUUACCGGAGUCACCUCUUCUUUAUAAUGCCAGCAACUGUUAAAACCCUUGAUGUCUACAAAUGGCAAGAAAAGUUGUGUUUUCAUUUUCUGGGAACUCCCAUAGGCCCUGGCUCAAGGACUCUGCAUUGUGUGUCAUGUACAUCUCUUAAGUGUUCUUUGCUGUUCUGGAAUUGUCCUUGGUUUUUCCUUAGCUCAUAGAUCAUAGACACAGAAAUAUUAUAGUAUUUAAAGCAUCCGCAUCAAGCAUCAGAUGGCUUCGCAUCCAGAAAAACAUAACUCAGUUUGAAGCACCAAGCAUGUGUAACAUGGCUCUAUACAAUACAAUAAAAAGCGCUAAUGUUAAGCUCUUU
rnacentral:lncRNA from 1 species